GACGAACGCUGGCGGCGUGCCUAAUACAUGCAAGUCGACCUUACGGGCGAGCGGGAGAUUAACACGUGGGUAAUCGGGGCAUCAGAAGGGGAGAACACUUGGAAACAGGUGCUAAUACCGUAUAUCGGAUGAUGGACCUGCGGUGGAUUAGCUAGUUGGUGAGGUAACGGCUCACCAAGGCCACGAGGCAUAGCCGACCUGAGAGGGUGACCGGCCACAUUGGGACUGAGACACGGCCCAAACUCCUACGGGAGGCAGCAGUAGGGAAUUUUCGGCAAUGGACGAAAGUCUGACCUAGCCACGCCGCGUGAGUGAAGAAGGUUUUCGGAUCGUAAAGCUCUGUUGUCAGAGAAGCGGUAUCUACCCAGAAAGCCACGGCUAACUACGUGCCAGCAGCCGCGGUAAUUC
rnacentral:rRNA from 1 species